rnacentral:rRNA from 1 species
ACACGAACCGCACGAACGUUAUUCGGAAUCACUGGGCUUAAAGGGUGCGUAGGCGGUCCGGUAAGUUGGGUGUGAAAGCCCUCGGCUCAACCGAGGAAUUGCGCCCAAAACUACCGGACUUGAGGAAGACAGAGGUGAGCGGAACUUGCGGUGGAGCGGUGAAAUGCGUUGAUAUCGCAAGGAACACCAGUGGCGAAAGCGGCUCACUGGGUCUUUUCUGACGCUGAGGCACGAAAGCUAGGGGAGCGAACGGGAUUAGAUACCCUAGUAGUCC